GGAGACGUGGCCGAGUGGUCGAAGGCGCUCCCCUGCUAAGGGAGUAAUGGGGUAACUCAUUCGAGGGUUCGAAUCCCUUCGUCUCCGCCA
rnacentral:tRNA from 1 species